rnacentral:misc_RNA from 1 species
AACUUUAUUCUUUUUUACGCGUUGGACUCAUACAGCUCUUUUAUGUAAGUAUGUGGAUCAUACAUGCUCAUGACUAUCUGCUCUUGCUUCUGUAAUUUCUAUGAAAUUUCUACUUUCGCUAUUAGGUUGCGGCGUUGCGCAGGUGGUUUUCCUAAGGGUAGCUUGUAUAGUCUGUAAAUGCAUCCGAAAUAGAAUAAUACAGUCUUUACUCAUAGUCUUAGAAAACAUUAAAUUGUAUGUGUAUAAAAUAUUAAAUCAUAAUCAUUAAUCUAAACACCAAUAAAGGAGUCUGGAAGACCACCAAAUUGCCCAAACUCGUCAACUGCUACAGCAGCACAAACAUUAAUGCAACAUGUAAGGCACAAUAUAAUUUUUAAGUGAAAAAAUAUAUAUAUUUUUGAAAACGUGCUGGAUCUUUAUUCAGUUAAUUUUCAAAGAAACAUGGAGUUAUUAUGAUUUUAGGUCAUACCUGUAGCAUCGCCUUUGCAUCAUAUAACUGCUGAAUGGUUUGCUAAGUUGAUCUCCAUUGAAUUUGACAGCAUAUGCAGCCUUAAAAGGAUAUGAAGUUCUAAUAAUUCUACAAAUGACAUUUAUGGAAUUUAAAACUUGCUUACUGCUUAGUCAAUAGUCAGGCCAAGGUUUCGCCUUUUGUUGCAGUGACAUGACUGGGACUCCAGAAUAGUUCUGCAAAGUUGCUCAAGAGUGUCAUAUCUCAACAAACUUGGAACUGGUGAAGAUACUUUUGACUCAUUAAAUUAAAAGAAUGACCUGCAGCAUUUCUGUUUCAAGUAACUUGAAAAUAAAACGUUGAAUUGAAUAGACAAAAACAUGCAUACCAAGUUGAUAACACAGCAAGAAAAAUUAACACUCUUGGAUUUCUUUGGUUUUUUGCUUUAUAUUGAGGCUCUUGUUUGUGUUAUACACAGCACUUGAAUUACUUUUUCUUUAUAAGUUUAACUAUGUUCUCUGCGUGUGCGUGUGUGUGUGUGUGUGU